ACACGUGAAAUCUUUGGCAAUCACAAAACGAACUGCAGAGCUUGUGAUUAGAAGGCAAUUUUACCUCAAGAAACAAAGACUUAGAUCUGAAGGCGGACCGAUACCGUCGAUCGGAGAAGGUUUGACCGUAAAUUAAGCCUCAUGGUGAUUCGGCGUCAUUAGCUUCGAUGAAGCGGUACAUAGCUUGCACGAAACCAGAAUUCAACUCCGAAUGAAGGUCAGCUUAAAACCUAUAAAUCAAAGAAAUUGGCGGGAAAGAAAAUAUCAAGAGUGAAGACUAACUAAAUUCGACUCAAUAUCACCCGGUACGGGAACUGCUAAAAUUAAUAUUGCCAUGACACAUUCUCUAUUCUGUUCAAUGUUCAAUGGCUGUUCUUUUAUGAUUUCGUUGAUACCAAAGUUGUCGAUGUCAAUGUCCUGCUAACUCGUCUUUGUUUAAAGAUGGAUUUAGUGUUUUUGACGGACAUUUAAGGGGACGGAUGCCAAAGAACUACAAGAGGUGACGGUAUAACGAGUUGUUGAUGGCCUUAGAUGAUCAGGGUUACAGGCACGAUGCACUAGAAACACCAUCGAUGAAUUCACCACUGCCCAUCAAAAUUGAAAUCAGACUUCAGCUAAAACCUAUGAUCGAUAUUGGAGGCUGUGUCCAACACUAUGUAUGAAGAAUUCCUGUUAAUCAUUAAUCGAAAGAUCUACAUGAUCACAUCCUUGUCCUUUUAACAUAUUGCCUGAUCGAAAGGCACAGUGAAGCCCUGAGAUCAGGCCGAUGAGAAACGUGGUGUAGUCUGGACGUCCGCACCGUCGACUGUCCCGUCGGCGUUGUUGAUAUUUACGCAUAUCUUAUAAUUCACUUCGGUGUUCGAUGCAUGGAGAUGUCAACCUCACCCAAACAUUUAGCGAAACUAAAUGCCAUAAAAAAUUUCCAUUGGUGAAUCUAGCAGAAAGAU